CCCUCCAUAUCAAUCCACGCAGUUCCAACCUCCACUCCUUCGUGGCACCCUCGUGGACGCAAUCGUAACCGUCUAUCUUCCCUCAAAAUGCCUACACUACGAAACCCUUGCACCCCUCCCUUUUCAAAUCUCCUUUCAAAUAAACAGAUAGGGAGAGAAAAUAUAAACAGACGAGGUGAUAACUGAGAGAGCCCAAGGAGAGAAAUCCUAAUUCUCUUAUUUCUGCGUUCUUCCUUUGAAUUCCAUUUCUUUUUGUUUUUGUUUCUGAGUAAUUAUGGUGGAGAGGUUGGUGAUUUGGUCGCCGGCGGAAAUGGCGUUGGUGGGGUACGUGAGCUGGGAGGAGGUGAAUGUGUCGAGCGAUAAAGGAAGGAGAGAGGUGAAGUAUUACCUGAAGAAAAACGACGGUGGAAUAGAUCUGGCUAUUAUAGGGAAAGAAAAGAGCUUGAGGCACAUGUCUUAUUAUUUUGCAAUUAGUAUUCGGUCGAAUUUUUAUUCCAUGACCCCCCCUGUGAAGCUCAAGUCCAGAAGAGAGGUUAUUGAUUGGCUCAAUUCAAUUGUUUCAGGUUCACUUCCUCAUGAACCCUCCAUCCAAGCAGGUUCCUUGGAUAACAGUGAUGCUUCUCGGUUGGAUAUGGAAACGUUUAAGGAUAAUCAGUCGCAGAAGCUGGGGCAUUAUUAUUCAGAAUUUUUGUGGUUAGGUUCUCCAUGGACUUGCAGGAAAAGAAAGAAGCAUUAUGAGUCUUUUUGCAGGAACGGUGUCAAAAUUUCAGUUCAUGACUUUGUUUAUGUCUUAGCUGAGGAGUCUAAACGACUAGUUGCUUACCUGGAAGACCUGUAUGAGGAUUCAAAAGGGAACAAAAUGGUUAUGGUACGCUGGUUUCACAAAAUUGAUGAGGUUGGUAUUGUUUUGCCUCACAAUUUUAAUGACAGAGAGAUUUUUUUUUCUCGUUGUCUUCAAGAUCUCAGUAUCGAAUGCAUAGAUGGAUUGGCCAUCGUCCUGAGUCCUCAGCAUUUCAAGAAGUUCCUAAAUGAGGCCGUACGUACUAGGUUCAAUCCCUUUGUUUGCUACAAGCAGUUUGACAAUGAAGAAGUCACACCCUUUGAUAUUACUCAAGUUGAAGGAUACUGGAGCCAGGAAAUUCUUAGGUAUUUGACCAUUCCUACUUCAAAUUAUCUGGCAAAUUCCCAGCAUCCAUUCAGUGGCUCGAGAGGGGAAGGAAAUGAUAAUGAUGCUAGUAGGAUGAGACCUAAGAAGAUGCUUCGCCGAUCAAAAGACAAUGAUGGUGUUUGCACUGGCAGCAAAGAAUUGUUGACUGCAAGGUAUAUAAACAUGCAAAGCUUUCAUACUAGUAGGGUUGAUGGCAAAACUGGAUAUGCCUUUUUGUCCACAGCAGAGGUUAUGCAAAAUCCUCCUCAAAGUCUAAAUGUUAGUUCUGAAGUUGAAGUGCUAUCUCAGGACAGUGGGAUUAGAGGUUGUUGGUUCAGAGCUUCAAUAAUUAAGAAGCACAAAGAUAAGGUGAAGGUGAGAUAUCAAGAUAUUAGCGAUGCAGCUAAUGAAGCCCAGAAAUUAGAGGAAUGGGUUUUGGUUUCUAGGGUUGCUGCUCCUGACCAAUUGGCUAUCCGGAUUAGUGGAAGGACUGUUGUCCGGCCCACGCCCCAGUUCAAUAAAGGCCAAAUGGCAUCAGUUGCUGAUGUUGGGACUGCUGUAGAUGCUUGGUGGAACGAUGCUUGGUGGGAAGGCAUUGUUGUCCAUAAGGAAACUGAAGAUAGAAUUCAUGUUUUCUUCCCAGGAGUAAAGAAGGAAUCAGUUUUUUGCUGUUCUGACCUGAGACUUUCCCUAGAAUGGUUGGGAAAUGCGUGGAAACAUAUCAAGGAAAGGCCAGAUAUUCUGUCACAUUUAUCAUCCUGCUUGGAAAGAAAGCAAGUAACUUUCAUAUCUGAUGAGAGCAAAUUGGCCGAAGUUGCCAUUCCUGGUUCCAGGCAGUCAGGAAAGGCCAACCCUGAAUGUGGCGAUUAUCCUUUCGAAAGUAGACUUGAUAUGAGAAAAGAGGUGAAGGCGCUUCCAGAUCUUUCGAAGGAUAAGUUGCUUGCCCAAUUGAGGUGGAGCUCAAUAAAGAAGAGAAGACGUGGUAGUGGGAGUUCUGGCCAUAAGAUGCAUCACAACAAUAACGGUGGUCUAAGGUUAUCAGAAGUUGUUGGAUCCAAUGCAGGUGAAAGAUUUCUGAUUCCAACUUCCUUGAAAGUUGAUCACGAGAACUGCAAGUACAUGGGGGAUUCUCUGUUUACUUGUGCUGUUGUGCAGCCUCUAACAGGCUUGGUUAUGUCUAGAUGAUCGAUUCUUUGUUAUUAGGACAUCUCAAGCAGAUGUUACGUUUCAGUCUUUUACAGAGGUAUAUGUCUAGAUAAUAGGGUUCAAUGCCUAUGAUAGAUUUCUAAUGUUGAUGACCUCGAAAGUGGAUUAAGAGAGCUGCUAUACAUCUGGGGUUUUUCUCUAUUAAGAGCCUCUAAACAAUACUGGUUAUAAAUCUAUAGGAUAGGCUUCGUAUUGUUGGGAUGUGGAAGAGUUGACAUCCAUCUCUCGAAGUGGAACAUAUUUCCAUGGUGCUUCCUGUUCUUGAGAAGAGAUGGCAUCCAAGCUCUUCUUCACCGGAGCUAUGUAUUUGUAUCUAACAGUAUCUGCUGGGGACCGUGAAUAUCAGGCAGCAACAUUGGAUGGCCUUAUAGAGUUUUAACCCCUGCAUGCACUUGUACCUUUCAAAGACUUGCAGGAUGAUUUCUGCUUUUGAUCUGUAAUCUAUUAUCUCUGGUUUGAUCUUUCUGUUAAUUUCAUCAUCAAUACUUUGGAUGGGGUAACAACAUCUGUUAAAGAGUGCAAGGCUGCAAGCUGUUGAGCCCAGGGCGGUAAAUUCUGGGCAAUUGGAAUAUAUUUGCUCGGUCGAUCUAUGGAAAACCACAAGCCACUUGCUUGAUUUGGCCAAUCCAGUUGUGUAGCAUCAAAGUUGCCGAACAAUCAAAUCAAGUCGGUAAAAACUUUCAUAUGUUUAGCCGUUAAAUGUUUGACUGUUUUGGUAAAGAACAUAAACUUUACUGGCUUUACUAGCGGAGCAGUGACAAGCUCGAGCAGGAGACCCAUCGAACCUUAUAUGAGGUCUCACUCUGUCUAAAAACUCAGCUUCUAAUGGCUCGCUGCAGCUUGCCAAGUUCUUCAUUGACACGACUCUUUAAUUGAGCUUAAUAAAAGAUUAUAGUACUAAUGCAGGUGUUUGGUCUCAUAAGCAAGCUACAAAGAAUAAUUCAAGAGGAGAAAGUUUAGAAACAGUGUUUUGUGUGGGCCUGCCUCAGUGAAUGAAACAUCUUUGUCAACUAAGCCCUCAAGGCCCCCUUUCACUUCACUAGGCUUUGCAACCUGUUCCAUCUUCAUUCCUUGUUCUCUCUUCAUUCCUUGUUCUCCGACAAUUGAAGCAUCUUACAAGUCGGGCUCGCUCUAUCAGUACAGCAGAAGCUGUUACUAGAUCUUUUUCAGAUCAUUUUCUAUCUCCAUCUUUCUUUCUUUCUCAGUGCAAGAUGGGAUUGAACUUGUUACCUUACUUUCCUAUAUGAGUAUCUUUGCUGCACGGCCUCAGUAGGAGAUGCCCGGAAUUGGAGUCAAGAAGUCAAAUAACAUGCUAUAUUCUGGAACUGGCCUUGCCUCUGUUGAAUCCUUAACCUUGCCUCUUGUUUGUAGUUCAGGAAAUUGUUCUUUCAGCAGAUAUUCGAUGUGCAGAAUGUCAAAGGAGACUAGCUGACAUCAUGUCAAGAACGAACGGUAAGUAAGAUUUCUUGAAACUUGGCCAUUGAGAUGUUGAGCACCCAAAAAAAUGUAACAAAUUCUUAGGGAUCUUCCUGACUUCUAAAUAAUUGCUUUGGAUGUCCUUGCUUCUUUGGGAGCGCUUUCAAGGAAUUUUCUUGGAGUUACAGCGAUGGCUGAACUAAUGUUCGGACAUUGAUAUUGCUUUGUAAAAGUUGCUUCCGAAUAUAUUGUAAUCAGAUAGAUAAUUGGGCC